AGCAGUCGCCGCGGUAAUACGAAGGGGGCUAGCGUUGUUCGGAAUCACUGGGCGUAAAGCGCACGUAGGCGGAUUUUUAAGUCAGGGGUGAAAUCCCGAGGCUCAACCUCGGAACUGCCUUUGAUACUGGAGAUCUUGAGUUCGGAAGAGGUUGGUGGAACAGCCAGUGUAGAGGUGAAAUUCGUAGAUAUUAGCUCGAACACCAGUGGCGAAGGCGGCCAACUGGUCCGACACUGACGCUGAGGUGCGAAAGCGUGGGGAGCAAACAGGAUUAGAUACCCGAGUAGUCCCUGUCUCUUAUAC
rnacentral:rRNA from 1 species